AUAUCCCCACGAUUGAAAAUUUAUUCACACCUAACUUCCUUCGUCUUUAGAAAAUAUUAGGAAUUCCGAAACCAGUUUUUUCUUCUUCGGCUUAUUGUUCUUCCAUUUCUUCUCCAUUCUCUUCUGAUUUCUUCUUCGCUCUCCUCCAAUUUCUUCAUCUUCAAUUUUCUGCUUAGGGUCGUUAUUCUUGCUUGAAGUUGCAAAGAAAAAUGAGGUGCGAUUUUUAUAUUUUAAAAUUUCUACAAAAAAACUUCAUGCUUCUUGUUUCCUCCAUGCAAUUUGUUGUUAAUAUUAUUAAUGAUCCUUCAUUAUUUUCAACUUAUGAAUAUGUAUUUUUAUAUUUCAAAUCUUUACUUCUUUUUUUUUUCCUCAUCCCCCAUGUGGCUGUCAAGUUUGCCUCUGUUUCAGCAAUAUGCAUUUUAAGUUCAUAGGGUUUUAGCUUUAUGCAGGUAACUAACUAGUUAUAUCAUGAGAUUAGCCAAUUUUAUGUACCUUAUUUUCAAUCUGUCGUUCAUAGUGUAGAUUGGUAUGUUGAUGGGUUCCCUAAUUUUUUUGGCUUUCUUAUUCUUUCAAAUCAAAAGAUGUUUGACGUUGUUGGUCUUCUGAUUUCUUGGAUUUGGGUUUGGAGGUAAUAGAUAGAUGUGUUUGUGAGUUAGAUUUGAUUGGAUUUAAUGAUGUGUUGAUGCAUAAUAUUAAUUUGUAAUAUUGCUAUGUGAUUUCCAACCAAUUACAUCUUAUUACCUUUUAAUUUUUCUCAAUUAUUUCAUACUUCUAAUAGUCUACUGAUUUUGUUGUGAUUGAUGUAUGUUUACUUUAAAAUUGUCAUUUAAUUGGCUUCUAAAUUGCAUUUGGUUUAUUUUUUUGUUAAAUGCCAUCUAAUUGCUUGCUUUGUUGUUAUGGCAAAAAAUAGAAAGACUAAGGAAGAAGAAAAAAGUAAAAAAAGAACGAUGAAAUUUGAGAAAUGAGAAACUUCAACUAAAAGACAAAAGAAAAUGAACAAAAAGAACAAUGAGGUAAUUAGCAUAUUACAACAUGGUUAGAUUGUCUAUUGAUCUACGUCUGUUUUACUUCAGGUAAUAAUUGAAUACGGUUUGUUACACUCAUUUAGUAAAACAAAUAAAUUGUUAACAUAUUUUAGGAGGACAUUCCACCUCAUGGGUACAAGGUGCAUUAUUAUUCAAAUUUUGAAAUGUUAGAAAAAAUGCUUAAAUUACUCACACCAAAACAAAAGGAACACUUUAGAAGUGGACUAUUUGAGUUCUUUUUAGACUAUGGGAUAAAUAAGUUUCAAGGUCAACUACUUGUUCAUCUAUUAGGAAGACUAUCUGAAAAAGAUAGCAACAAUGAACAACUGGUCUUUAAUUUAGAAGGAUAUACAAUUCGAUUUUCUUUGAAAUACUUUUGUUUGAUAACUGGUUUUAGAUGUCAUCCAUUAUGAAGUCCAUAGAAUUAAAUAAUCGGGAGGAUAGAAUAUAUUUGUUGAGAGAUAAUGUCUUCAGCAACUUAGAUGACAUUGAUAGGAAUAACGUACUUGCUUCUUUAGCAGUAUGUAAAUAUGACGAUGACUCAAUGGUUAAGCUUACCAACUUGUAUAUCUUAAAAUGUUUUCUUAACUGCAAGCAAAAUCAUAAUAAGGUGGAAUGGAAGAACGUAGAGAUAUUAGGGAUGAUGACACUUUAAACACCUCUCAUUGGGGUAGGUUAGUUUUUACUUUGACAGUAGAAUUCUUUAGAAAGGCUGCUCAAACCAAAAGUAAAAAUUGCACCUUACAAGGAUUUUCUCAAGUCUUAUUAUGUUGGCUUACGGAAUAAUCUCAAAACUUUCUAAGCAAGGUGUUGGAAUUGUAACACGAGUGAGUGAAGAAUGCCCAAGAAUGCUAAGAUGGAGACCAACAAAGAAACCUGAUAAGAACUAUCUCCAAGAGCUCAUCUUUAAAGCGAGCGAUUUUAAAGUUGUCCAUUUGAAUAAAUCUGAAGAUGAAUUACAUUCAAACUACUUCCAAUAUUUUGCAAACAAGCCACUGGAAGUAAUUGAAGAAAGAUGGAAAUAUAAGAGGUCAAUCUGCUUGGAUGAUGAAGAAGAAGUUUGGAAUGAACAAGAGGUUCAAAGCUUAGGUGUAGAUGGUUCUAUUAGAGGGGACAUCAGAAAAAUAAAAGAGGACUUUGAAUCUUUGAAGAAAGAAACUGUUAAAAUUUUGAAAAAUAUGGCCACAUUGUUUGAAUUGUUCAACUCCAUGAAUAAAUAAUUAGCUACAAAAAACAUAGAGAAGCAAUCUCAAGACUUCUUCCAUCCUAAUAGACCUCCAACAGCAAGCCUUCAAAGAAUUGAAGAUGAGAUAAAUAUCCAAUGAUUGGAAGACAAAGAGAAGAAAAAGAUGGGAAAAUGAAGGAAAAGAGGAAGAAGAUGAAAGUGAAGAAAUACAAGAAGACCAAGAAGAUAACAAGUUUAAUACACUUGGAAAAGUGUGUUUUGAUAACAAGUUUAAGAAGAUAAAUCCAAAAAAGAAAAUGAAGAAAAAAACAUAAAGAAAAAACAUGGCAAAGAAAAGAAACCGGUUGUUUAGAAUAAAAUGUGGACAAGAAAGUCUUCACAAGAUAAGCCUGAAGUGGAAUAUGAACGACCAAGAAGAAAAUUAAAACCCACAUCUAAGGUUAUUGAUUUGGAAAUGGCGAAAAAACACAAAUAUCCAAAGAUAUGAAAUACAAGCACUGUUAUCAAACUACCUUAUUUUGAUUUGAACAUUUCACAACCAAAAUGAAAUCAAAUUUCUUUUGGUAACUUUUAUAGACUUUGGUGUUGAU